GACGAACCGUGCGAACGUUGUUCGGAAUCACUGGGCUUAAAGGGCGCGUAGGCGGCUCGACAAGUCGGGGGUGAAAUCUUUCGGCUCAACCGGAAAAGGGCCUCCGAUACUGUCGAGCUCGAGGGAGGUAGGGGCGGACGGAACUUCCGGUGGAGCGGUGAAAUGCGUUGAUAUCGGAAGGAACGCCGGUGGCGAAAGCGGUCCGCUGGCCCUCUACUGACGCUGAGGCGCGAAAGCCAGGGGAGCAAAGCGGG
rnacentral:rRNA from 1 species